UGGAUUGUGGCUCAGCGGUAGAGCACUUGCCUAGCACAGGUUGGACUCGAAUUUGAUGCUCAGCACCACAUAAAAAUAAAGGCAUUAUGUUGUGUCCAUCUAAACCAAAAAAUAAAUAUUAAAAAAAAAAGUAUUGUUUGGGGGUUUGGGGCUGUUGCUCAGUGGUACAGUUCUUGCCUAGCAUGUGUAAAGCACUGGGUUCAAUCCUCAACACCAA
rnacentral:tRNA from 1 species